GCCUCCCGACAGGCCUGUGUGGCCGGUGGCGGGCGGGCCGUUACCUCCCGCGCAUGCUCUAUGGGGUAGAGACGCUAGGCCGGCACUGCCUAGGUGGGCCGGGCGGUGCGAGGGUCGCCUUUCAGCCUUUACCUCUACCCACUGAAAUGGAGUAGGUCGGUGAGCGCCGAUCUGCUGGAGAAUCUCAUUAUCCCAUCGGCGCUCUGCCUGCUCCUGGCCUCCAAGCCUCUGAAGCCCCUCGGGUUUCAGCUGCCGGCUACCCUCGAGCCCGUGGUGCCCACGAGAGAGGCGACUUUACGUCAGCGGCCCUGGGCUGAGAUUUGAGAACGCGACCAAGUGGAGAAUGUUGGAGCCAGAUUUUAAAAUCCUUGUCUUCCUUCUGCGUGCUACUUGAUCUAAAUGAGAUACGGCAAAGUCACAGAACCUGUUUUUAUGUUUUUGCCUGAUUCAUACGGGCUUCUCCGGUGAAGAUGGGCCUGAAGUAACGCUUGGGUUGCUUCUGACGUUAUAACUCAUCCUGUAGCUGCAGCAACCGUGGUCCUUGCAACCUCAUAAAAAUGUUGCCAGCAUUGUUUCGAUAGUGCUGCUUAAUUCUUGGAAGGCCUCUUUGCUUUCUUCCCUGAGGUUCUUCGGACUUCACACAUUCCAGCAGUAGCUCUCUCAGCUCCUGUCCUGCACAGCUUUGAAGUGCUGGACACAGCCCUGGUGAUGGCUUUCUGAGGAUGACACGAUGGAGGCUUCUCCAAUAGCUCUAAAACUGCGGUGUGGAAAACAUUCGGCAGCCUCAAAGAGCGGUCUUGUUGACCCCAACUAUAUCAUUUUUCAUCAAAAUCAUUCUUGUAAAGAAUGACCAGGCAACACUCUUUGAAAAUUGGAGGCCAUUUGCAGCUGCUCUCUGUUGAGGAAAGUGAAUAAUAGGGUGCCCUCAAGGAAUUGCAAAGGUAUCACUCAACAGAAACUUUCGUGUCUGAAGAAAACUAGAUCAUUUUAUCAUGGUAGGCAUGCUGAUAUGUUUGCUUUAAUAAAAUGCCAUAUUUCUGCCUUUAAUCUCUUGUCAACCCGCUAUUAAAAAGCCCCAAAGUGCAUGUGUGCAGCGCAUGUAAACACUUGUGGUUUUGAGGUUACCACAGAACAUACUAAUAAAGCAUGUAAUUUGUGUUUUGUGCACAGACUGUAAUAAUUUAUUGAGUGGUACAGAGAAGCUAGAAAAGGAUUUUCUCUAACUUUUGCCAGCAAGUCAAUUUAUUUUUAGUGCUCUAUGCAGAAGUACAUGUAUACACAUGUUCUUAUGAUUACAUCAUGUUUAAAAAGCAUUAGGGAGCCUGCAUAACAAAAUGGGACAAAACAUAAAUUCAUUUUGCACAUACGGAAGACAUUCUAUCAAGCAUGCUAAUGUUCCUCCUAUAAGCUGAUCAGCUGGGAGGUGUGGCAUAUAUUCUUCCACAAAGGGUGUGUGUUUGUGUGUGUGUGUGUGUGCAUGUUUGUGUGCGUGUUGAGCACUGACAAUACAUUAGCAGAGUAUAGAUCAAGUAAGUUCAAGUAAAUUAAGACGAAUAAUAAUAGCAAGAACUUUUAUAAACUUUACCAACUUUAUCCCCAGUCCCCCUGGGGGAGGAGGGCAGAGAACAAUGUUGUUCCUUCUUUUAUAUGGAAUAACAAAACGUAUAAUGGUUGGGUCACUUCUAGAGGGUCCUAGAAGAGCUCAUUGCCAGACUACAGCUUCCACCAUGAUUGUUUGGGUAGCCAAUUUAUCUGUUUAUGUAAGAUCCUUACAGGUAAGAACCAUCAGGUUGUAUACCACUUAGCUUUUUGCUUUCACUUCUUCCCUUGUGAGGUUCCUUGCACACAACAAAUCAUCCACACAGAUGCAUAAUUUGAAAGGAAAGGUCUUGAGCUUAUGGAAGAAAUACAUACCAGUUUCUGGAAAAUUCUGUGAAAUUCUGUAGUUGGAAAAUAAUUCUGUGAAAUUCUAUGCUUUAUUUACUCAAACAAAAAACACAUUCAGUUUAGAAAUAACGUCUGUGCCCAGAAGAAAUAGGUGUUAGAUACUCAAAACGUGUUUAUUCCAAAAAGAUGCAAGAUUUCUCUCCUGGAAAGCAAUUCACCACUCUCUAUGCUUCUUUUUCUUUCUGAGAAGUCUUAUACACAUAACAGUUUUCAAUGCACAGAUGGAUCUUCUGUGGUUCACAACCUUUUACAUUUGAGGGCUAAUUAAAAUGAAUCCUUUGUGCCACCUCUAAGAUACAACUCACUCCUUCAUGUUGUUCAUUGACUAAGAUCUAAUAAACCAGUUCCAAUUCAUAACUAGGGAUUAUUGAACUUCUUGUGGCCAUUGGCUAUCAUAGAGGCAUUGUGAAAAUCUCUAAGGAGACAAGUGCACAGCAGCCUGGCCCGGAGGGUCCUCUUAUUUGAAGUAGAACUCAAGUUGCACCCAAUUAUGUAAGGCUGAUCCAACCCAGAAAAGAGUUUUCUGCAAGAGAUUAAGCCAAUUCUCCAGAACUCUAAGGAGGAAAUCAAGAUCCUUGUGGCUGUUUGAUCACUUCUGUGAUUUGAAUGUCUCCACGGUUUAAUCAUUUGCUUACAUAAUGAGGACAUUACAGAGAGAAGAGAUGAGGGUAGGGGAAGAGAAGGAAGGGAA
rnacentral:lncRNA from 1 species